rnacentral:rRNA from 1 species
CCUACGGGAGACAGCAGUGAGGAAUAUUGGUCAAUGGCCGGAAGGCUGAACCAGCCAUGCCGCGUGAAGGUCAGUGCCCUAUGGGCGUUAAACUUCUUUUGUGCGGGAGCAAUAAUGGUCACGUGUGGCCAGACGAGAGUACCGUACGAAUAAGCAUCGGCUAACUCCGUGCCAGCAGCCGCGGUAAUACGGGGGAUGCAAGCGUUAUCCGGAUUUAUUGGGUUUAAAGGGUGCGUAGGCUGUGAGGUAAGUCAGCGGUGAAAUGCCCCCGCUCAACGGGGUGAAGUGCCAUUGAUACUGCCUGGCUGGAAUGCGGAUGCGGUGGGAGGAAUGUGUGGUGUAGCGGUGAAAUGCAUAGAUAUCACACAGAACACCGAUUGCGAAGGCAUCUCACGAAUCCGCGAUUGACGCUGAUGCACGAAAGCGUGGGUAUCAAACAGGAUUAGAUACCCGAGUAGUC